rnacentral:rRNA from 1 species
GAUGAACGCUGGCGGCGUGCCUAAUACAUGCAAGUCGAGCGAACAGACGAGGAGCUUGCUCCUCUGACGUUAGCGGCGGACGGGUGAGUAACACGUGGAUAACCUACCUAUAAGACUGGGAUAACUUCGGGAAACCGGAGCUAAUACCGGAUAACAUGUUGAACCGCAUGGUUCAACAGUGAAAGACGGUCUUGCUGUCACUUAUAGAUGGAUCCGCGCCGCAUUAGCUAGUUGGUAAGGUAACGGCUUACCAAGGCAACGAUGCGUAGCCGACCUGAGAGGGUGAUCGGCCACACUGGAACUGAGACACGGUCCAGACUCCUACGGGAGGCAGCAGUAGGGAAUCUUCCGCAAUGGGCGAAAGCCUGACGGAGCAACGCCGCGUGAGUGAAGAAGGUCUUCGGAUCGUAAAACUCUGUUAUUAGCUAAGAACAAAUGUGUAAGUAACUAUGCACGUCUUGACGGUACCUAAUCAGAAAGCCACGACUAACUACGUG